rnacentral:rRNA from 1 species
UACGGGGGGGGCAAGCGUUGUUCGGAAUUACUGGGCGUAAAGGGCUCGUAGGCGGCCAACUAAGUCAGACGUGAAAUCCCUCGGCUUAACCGGGGAACUGCAUCUGAUACUGGAUGGCUUGAGAUUGGGAGAGGGAUGCGGAAUUCCAGGUGUAGCGGUGAAAUGCGUAGAUAUCUGGAGGAACACCGGUGGCGAAGGCGGCAUCCUGGACCGACACUGACGCUGAGGAGCGAAAGCCAGGGGGGCAAACGGG